UCCCAGGGCGGGACCAGCCUUCCUGAGAAGGUCACUCUCUGGCCACACCUAAUGUACAGGUAGGAGGUGACUUCACCUUUUUCUGGAUAACUGUGGUUGACGCUGAGCAGAUGGUCACCCCUGGGGCAGCAGGCUGAAGGGCCAGGAUGCAGGGACGGUGACUCAGCGGGUCACAGGAUUCCUCCCAGGCUUCCCCACCCUGCAGAACCACUCACAAGGCUCUUCUCCAUGACUGGAUACAAAAGAAUGAAAACUCCCAGCUACCUCCUCAAGGUGUAUGAGUGUUCUGACAGCACAUAUGGCAUAUAUGUGCUUGGUGCCUGUGGAUGUUAGAAGAGAGGUCAUACCCUCAAAACUGGAAUUAUGAAUGGUUGUGAGCCAACACAUGAGUGCUGAGAACUGGACCCAGACGGGUCUGAAACCAGCCUGUGGCAACGAGCAGGAACGCAGCCACGUAAUCUUUGCAGAGUGCUUUCCAGUCUCUCACCAGUUGCCUGUGCAACAGUAUUGCUCCUGCUUAUCUUCUGAGUUUCCAGAUGGAGGAAGGGGCACUCGGGUUAAGUAGCCUGCUGAAGAUGUAAUCGUAUAUACUAAUAGUGCUCCAAUACGAAUGCUCUCCAACUCCCAAGUGAAAAAUGCUCUCCCUCGUUCCUUGCUGACUUCAGAAGAAGGCAGAGUCCCAGCUCUGUGCGCCCAGCACUGUGCCCGAGCUGCUGUUUUGCAGGACGGUGGAAAUAUUUGUUUGUGGUUUUUAUGUGCCAGGAGCUCAAGACCCUUUCACAGAACAGAACUGAUUGAAGAUGUUUACAGCGAUGCAGAGGAUAGAGCAGACCCCUGAGGCACAGGGGGAUCCACCAAGCGGCAGCUCAGCUUUCUAGACACAGCAGUCACAGAAGUGGAGACUUCAGUUAAAAGCUCAGACCUGGGGCCAGUCAGAUGGCUCAAGAAGCAAAGACACUUGCUGCCAAGCCUAAGGUCCUUACAUGUGUCGAUUCACAGGACCCAAAUGAUACAAGGGACAACUCCUAAAAGUUGUCCUCUGACUUCCCACAAGUGGCCCCUACCUCCCAGCAAACAAACACAUAAAAAUAAAAGCAAUU